UACGUAGGGUGCGAGCGUUGUCCGGAAUUACUGGGCGUAAAGAGCUCGUAGGUGGUUUGUCGCGUUGUCCGUGAAAACUCACAACUCAAUUGUGGGCGUGGCGGGCGAUGACGGGGCAGACGUGGAGUACUGCAGGGGAGACUGGAGUUCCUGGUGUAGCGGUGGAAUGCGCAGAUAUCAGGAGGAACACCGGUGGCGAAGGCGGGUCUCUGGGCAGUAACUGACGCUGAGGAGCGAAAGCGUGGGGAGCGAACAGG
rnacentral:rRNA from 1 species